GAUAAAUGUGGGUAUUGCUUCAAUAGGGUUAGCAGGUUAAUAGAUACAUGUGGGUAUUGCUUCAACAAGGUUAGCAGGUUAUAGUACAGUGGGUAUUGCUUCAACA
rnacentral:lncRNA from 1 species